rnacentral:rRNA from 1 species
GAUGAACGCUGGCGGCGUGCCUAAUACAUGCAAGUCGAGCGAAUGGAUUAAGAGCUUGCUCUUAUGAAGUUAGCGGCGGACGGGUGAGUAACACGUGGGUAACCUGCCCAUAAGACUGGGAUAACUCCGGGAAACCGGGGCUAAUACCGGAUAACAUAUUGAACCGCAUGGUUCGAAAUUGAAAGGCGGCUUCGGCUGUCACUUAUGGAUGGACCCGCGUCGCAUUAGCUAGUUGGUGAGGUAACGGCUCGCCAAGGCAACGAUGCGUAGCCGACCUGAGAGGGUGAUCGGCCACACUGGGACUGAGACACGGCCCAGACUCCUACGGGAGGCAGCAGUAGGGAAUCUUCCGCAAUGGACGAAAGUCUGACGGAGCAACGCCGCGUGAGUGAUGAAGGCUUUCGGGUCGUAAAACUCUGUUGUUAGGGAAGAACAAGUGCUAGUUGAAUAAGCUGGCACCUUGACGGUACCUAAACAGAAAGCCACGGCUAACUACGUGCCAGCCGCCGCGGUAA